rnacentral:misc_RNA from 1 species
GGGACGACACGGUGAGGC